UGGAAAAAACCCCUGUUGUAGCCCCCUUGUUGAGGGGGGCAUACAUAAGCGCGCCUCAAUAGCUACUUAGUCAACGCGGGUCAAAUAUUUUACUAUUCUAUUGAGGCGGGCUUUUUUGGUGUUCGCUUCUACAGAAGCUGUUGAAGGGGGCUUUCCUUGCCCGCCUCAAUAGAGAGAAGCUGUUGAAGGGGGCUUUUAAUUGCCCGCCUCAAUAGGGUCUCUCUGUUGAAGGGGGCUUUUAAUUGCCCGCCUCAAUAGGCUACAUUAAAUUUUAAAAAAAUAAAACCACCGCCAAACAGAUCGAUAAGCUUCUCUUCUCUUCACAUCUCGUCGUCGUACUUCACAUCUAGCUCUUCCAACGCAUACCUAUCCUCACCGCGCGACUCCACCACCACCAUAACCACCACCACCACCUUCCUCACCGCGCGGCUCCACCACCACCAUCUGAAGGAGAGUUUCCCCACCGUCGUCUUUCCUACCUUCGUGCGACUCCAUCUGUUUCACACAAUCGAUUUGUGAAGCUAGACUACUAAAGAGACUUAAGUACCCAGGAGCGACUGAAUUUGGGGUGGAUUUGUCUCAGGCCAACAUCUCAAUUCAACUUGAUGUUGGGAAGGGAGGAAAUAGUGGCUCAAAUGCUAUAGCACCCGUUGUAGAGAAAUGAGUCGUCGUUGGAUGUACGGUGACCAUACUACGGUGGAAUACUUGAGUGGGGUUGAGGAGUUCCUUAGAUGUGCUUUAGCACACCAACGGAAUACGAAAGCCGCAAAGAUCUAUUGUCCUUGCCGUGAUUGUAACAAUGUAAGGCGGUUAGGUGAUAUUGAUGAAAUUGAGGAUCAUUUAUUUCGUCGUGGGUUUAAGCAAGAUUACCAUGUCUGGUUUUGGCAUGGUGAGAAAAUACUUGA